rnacentral:rRNA from 1 species
UACGUAGGGGGCAAGCGUUGUCCGGAAUCAUUGGGCGUAAAGAGCGUGUAGGCGGCCCGAUAAGUCCGCUGUGAAAGUCCAGGGCUCAACCCUGGGAUGCCUGUGGAUACUGUCGGGCUCGAGUCCGGAAGAGGAGUGUGGAAUUCCUGGUGUAGCGGUGAAAUGCGGCAGAUAUCGAGGAGGAACACCGGUGGCGAAGGCGGGUCUCUGGGCAAUAACUGACGCUGAGGAGCGAAAGCGUGGGGAGCGAACAGG